CGCAAUCGUCGUCGCCUGGGUCGGGUGUACUGUCGAUGCGUCACAAAGUCGCACCUGGAGGAGCCAAGUUGUUGUGCUCUAACACGGUCGACGCCAGGCACAAGAUCUUCCUGGUGACUCCAUGACGACGAGCACGGUGUGCGCCAGCGCAACGGUUAAUCUGGGGACUACCGGCGCGGGAACUCCGGCGUGCAGGUCUUAGUAAGUGCAGGUGGUGUUUCCGGCCAGCGGCGAGUCCAUCUGCCUUCUACGUCGCCUCAUCUGGUAUGAAUUGAAUUUCUUCGUCGUCAACUGCUGAGGUAUUGUGCUUAAAACAACACUUUCAGAAACGGCCAUCGUUAAUCUAGGCAGCAUCCAGUUUGUUGGCCUGACGGUUAGCCGGUUUUCAGAUCAGAUUAGCAGUGCCAAUUGAGAUGACACGAAGCUGAUGCAAUGUAAAGUUUAGGAUGCAACAAGGGUGGCACUACCACUGCCGAAGUAAAUAAGAACAGGGGCCCCUCCUGCAUGGUUUCGGUGAGCUUGGAUAAUGAAAACAUUCGGCCUUUACUGAACUUAUUUCAUUCAGUAAAAAUAUGUGAAUUGAGGACUACAUUGGUUCUCUUUCUUGUGGGUGGAGUAUUGUUUUUAUGCAUGGCAUUCGUUUUAAAGGAAUGCCUAGGUGUUAUUUUUCCUCAACUGAACUAUUUUGUAUCUUCAGUUAAGUUUUGAUUUGUCCCUACAUUCAUGUUCAUAGAGAAAUUGUAUUAUCAUGUCCAUCUAGAGUAUGGUGCUUUGGUAAGGGUUUAGGAAGUUUCUACUGGUUGUUUUUUGAUUCAGACAUGGGGCAUAAAAGUAACACUGCAUGUCUUAUGACUAAAUGAUAUGUAUCUAGGAUGCAAUUCGGUCGUUGAAAAGCCGAGGAGAGGUCUAAAUAUUUUAUAACUUUUGUUUUCCUAGCUACUGGUGCAUUACUCAUGAUUGUUGAAUUAAAUACC